rnacentral:lncRNA from 1 species
GAGAAUACAUAAGUGAUGAAGCCAUAGUCCUGGCAGAUAGAUGGGAGAAGAGAUUGAGAACUGAUCUCGGUUAGUUGUUUGUCGUUUGAUCUUCUGGCUUCAGUGGGGAAGAAGGAUAGGCAACUAAAAAAGAAGCGAUGGUUGUGAUUUGUGAAGGUAAGUGGUGGGAGGGAGGACCACGUGGACGAAUGAGUACUUAAGAGUUGUGAGGUUGAGUUUUGUUGCAUCUAUAUCCGCUUAGGACAAUGCGAUGGAGUUUACUGGCUUCUCAUUGGCUCAUUGAGAUUUCUAAUCAAAUUUUCAUGGCUUUGGGCGCGUGGAUAUUGAGUGUGUAACUAUUAUUUUAAUAUUUUUUGUGUAGUUGUCUGGAGAUUUUAUUUCGGUUUCAGCCAUGUAAAAGAUUAUUCGGCCUUAUCCUAGCCCAUUUAAGUGCUCUCUUACAAACAAGGACCGGACCGGUCGGUUUGCAUUUGCAAUUAGCCGGUACUCUGAAAUGUGUCCCACUGAAAACCUUAGGCAUAGUUUUUUGAGUACUUUGUAAUACGAAAAUCAAUACUAUUAAAAGGAAAUAAGUUAUAAAAAAAUCUAUUUAUACAAGUUGUGUAUAGUUGUUUGGACCAUUUCCUUAGAUUUAACUAUUUUUUUGGUUAUACCUUAUAAUUCUUUAAAUAUAUGAUAGUAAAAAUUCUUAUUUAUUAUUCACAUUGAAAGCAAGAGAUAUUUUAGGGCUGAACAUGAAUAAAAAAAUAGAUAUUACCAUAAAAAUUAAUUGAAUUAUAUUCUCUGAUUAAUAAAUGCACUACGAAUUUACCAUACUAAUAUUUAAUGCUAUGACUUAAUUUAAUCAUACCAAACAUUUCACGUGCUAACAUUAACGUCUUACUAUUAUAAUUAAUUUAAUAUUAUAGCUACCGGCUUACAAUUUUUUUUUUUGUAACUUAACCGGCUUACAAUUUUGGUAUGUUGUUCACAUAUUUGUUUUUGACUAAAUUAUUUUCAUUAUUUACACCCAUUUAUAUUAAAAUAGUAUGAUUAUAUUAUUAUUGCAUGAAAGUUUAUGUUAAUUGUACACACGAUUUCAUAUUUGGUUUGUUAUUCUAAUAUAUUUUACGUAACUAAGUUUAAAGAAUCACGAAUCAAAAAAUUAUAUUAAAAUUUGGAUCAUUUUUUUAAAUUUCCUUUUCAAAUUUAAAUGGGUUUUUAUCGUAUCAACCAAUUUUAGAUCCCCGGUUAACAAUGAGUUGUUGGAUUAUUACCAAGUUUUAUCUGGUUUAUAAAUAUUUAAAUUUAACUAAAUCCAAACUGGAUUAUAUACAUAUCACCGAAUCUAUGGUUUCGACCGCAAAUCUGGUAUAAGAAUGAAAAAAUUGUUAAAAAUAUUAAAAUUCCUAUAAAUAUAUAUUAUUAAAUUAAUCAAAAAUCUAAAGAUUAGUAAAUUUUAUGUCUCAUUGACUCCAAUAAAUGUAAUUUUUUUUUAAAUGCACACAGUUAUAUAAAGAUGACAAUCUAAUAUACAUAUAAAAUCUUAAAUGAACUAACUGAUCAAUUAUAUAAUUUUAAAUAAAAAAUUAUUUGCUUCCUUUGUAAUUUAAUAAUGUACGUAAAAUCAAAACACUAAUUCAUAUAAAAUAUUUUUAUUUAUUUGAAAACUUUUUUAUGUUUUACCGACUCAACAAAUGUAACUCUUUUAAAAUGCACACAGAUAUAAAGAUGAUAAUCUAAUAUACAUAUAAAAUCUUAAAUGAACUAACUGAUCAAUUAUAUAAUUUUAAAUAAAAAAGUAUUUGCUUCUUCGAUGUAGUAUAUAUUUGUAAUUCAAUAAUGUCCAUAAAAUCAAAACACUAGUUCAUAUAUUAUUUUUUAUUUAUUCGAAAAAUCUAUCAUUUAAAAGUGCGGAUCAAAAUCUAGUCAUACUCAAUUCUCUAGGAUGAGCUUGGUCUUGGCAUGACCUUUGUGCCCUAAAAUAGGGUGAUGGAGACGAUAUAAAAUCUCAUUGCAUCCCCUAGAACUGAUAAAAUAUCGCCGCUCAUGGAAAACCUAGCAAGCGAAGACGCCCUUCUCAACUUGUCGGGUCGGAUUUAAUUUGAAUUUCGUGACCUUCUCGAUUCAGACCCAUUUGCUUAGGUCACGGAAUUCAAAUCAAAUCCGACCCGACAAAAAUGAGUCUGAAUCGAUCAAACCCCGAUAUAAAUACCAAAUGGAACUUGUUUUAUGGUAUUUCGGAAUAUGAGUUUUACCCGAACCCAAAUAGAUAUCCGAAAAAGUCCAAAAAUAAAAAAAAAAAAUCCAAAAAACUUGUAUCAAACCAGACCUUAGUCCCUAUGUAUUAUCUUAGUGAGUACCCAAAAUAAUUAUCUAUUACAUGAAUAAUUAAUUCAAUAAUCGAAUAUAUUUUUAUUUGGUCAAUGUUAAUGUUUUCAUGUUUUUUUGACAAUUGCAUAGUUUAAACAAUGUUGUUGUUUUUAAGUUUAAAUAGUGUUUCUUAUGUUUAUAGAGUUGUUAGAAUUUCUUAUGUUUAACUUCAAUUUGCUUACGUUUCAUUAUUUAUGAUUUUCAUUCGUUUAAGGUUUCGGUUUUUCAUGAAUGAUGAUUUGUCUGAUGUUGUCACAUAUAGUUCAAGUAUGAGUCUCGUAUUGUUGAUAGAAGAUUCUUCCAGAGUUAUUUUGAAGGACAACAAUAUGGUUUAAGGAAGCUAAGUAUACAAAUUUAUUGAAAAGAUUGGAAAUAUAUUGAGUUUUAAUAAAUAUAAAUUGAUAAUUUUAGAACCCAGAACCCAAUUAAUAUCUUAAACCAAAACAAUUUUGGAUUCAAACAUGUAACUAAACCUGAACAGAACCCGGCCCAAACUUUUAUAAUAACGGAAUGAGGCUAAAACUCAUGAACCUGAAAUCCGACUGGGACCCCGAUUGUCCAGCCUUGGAUAACCUUCUUGUCCAUUUUAUUUGGUCAUGAGUUUUAUAGAGGCCAUACUGGUGCAGAGCAUAUGACUUCCCUUCUUCAUAUUAUAAAAAGAAUUCAGCCCAGUCUUGUGACCUAUAUUAUAAAACGAAUUGGGCCUAAUAAGAAAUAUGGGCCAUUUGUUUUAUAAUAUGGAAAGCCCGAAUCCCAUACUUCAAGGCUUUGCUUAUUUGUCUUGGCUAAAGCAUCAAUUUCAUGGGUUGGUUUUAACUUUUAAGAGAAGGAUGAUGCGAACUAGCAUCUUGCAGUUCUGGUGAGCAGCGUAGAAACUGGUUAUGAGCCACUUGUAAUCUGAUUGGUGUUUUUGGAAAAGACUCCACAUCCCAUCUGUACUACUUCCCAUCUUUGAUCAUUAUGUUACAUGAAAAUUGUACAACUUGUAAAUAGACCACUAACAAAAUAAGGAUGGAUGUUAAGUUAAAAUGGUAAAAAUCACUUUAUCCUAAAUGUCCUUGCGACAACCCUAUGGAGAAAGAAAUGAGAUACUGUGUGGGGCCAGUAUCAUAAUUGAUAAGUUGACCCAAUCUGUCAAACAUUUUUCACACAUAUCAUCAUCAUGUUAAAUUUUCUUCAUCUAAUAGUCACACUCACACCAAAUGAUUCCCUACCAAACAAGAAAAAAGAACAAUCGUCAAGUAAUCUGACAAGGGGCAUUACUUGUAAAUUGUAACUCUCUACAUACUCGUAACGACCGGACGAUUCGUGUCCCUUUAGAGUUUUUGAUGAUCCUCUCUCUCUCUCUCUCUCUUGUGUUCACUCUUCCCCUCAACCUUUGGAUUCUCCUCGCGACUUCUCUCUUUUGGAUUCGCCGUUGGAGACUUUAAGAACAGCUCUGCCAUUUCAUUUCUAUAGUUGCAAAAGGUAAAGACUCGAGAUCGUCUCGUGGUGGUUCAUGGUUUUAGGGUUCAAAGUUCCUAAUUUUACUGUUCAUUUGAACCAAAGUUAUCGAUGACGUCAUGCUCACACUCCAAUCUGCAUUUUAUAGAAACCUUUAGUUUUUUUUUUUUCUACUCCUCUUCUUAUUGGUUAUAGACUAUUUCAUUGCGAGUGAGUGUGUGUGUUGUUGAUUAUUUCUCUUGCUGGUUUGUUGACAGAGGAUGAGUACAGAUCUUGUUAGAGAAGAUGAUGUUGAGGAGAAUCCUUCUUCUGUCUCUUCGAGAAUGGACCUAAAACGGAUUCAUCAGUGGCUGACACAAGAAGAGUCCUCCGGUUCAGAACUAUUCAGUAAUAAGAGACAAGUGGUUGAGACUGAUAGUGGUUCCCGGACGAGUUUCUUAACUCCUCCUCUUAUGUCUGCUUGGGACAGCUCACUUGUGCCUAACUGCUUAUUCGAUCCUGCUAAUCCACAGCAUACAUCACAUCUCCUUGGUAGAUAUAUCUCUCCUGUAGACCAGGAGGUGCUUCAUGGUAGCUCAUUUAAUCUUGACACCAUUAGAAAGGUCACAGUCAAUAAUCAAGUGUGUGAAUCUCAAAACAUGCCCCAAUCCAUGCUUCAGUUUUAUGAUAGCACCCCCUCUUUUGGCCAAACCUGCAGCAGUAUUGACAAGAGCUUCACCUUGCCAGGGCCAAACUUGAGUUAUGAUAAAGGAGAUGAAAAUGUCUUCUCAACAUUCCAUCCAUUUGGGAAAGGAGUAGAAAGCUUUGCGUUGAUGGGUCAGUCUCUUCAAAAGGCUGAUUAUAACAUCUUCUCUUAUAACAAGGGACAUGAGAACGUCAUGUCUAAUGCCAAUGUUGUGUUCUCACAAGGCUGUGAGAUGGCAUUUAUGGUUCCUAGCCAAGAAAAAGCAGACAAGAACAGUGAUCAAACUAGUCAAGAGGUUAGAAGACAGACCAUAUCUUUUGGAAAUUAUCAGAAAGAAACCACAAUGGUGUCUCCAGUUCCUGUUAUUACCAGUUUUGAGAACUUCAGCCAUUCUCCUGCAGAGGACAACAUGUCUUCUCAAUAUCCUCCUUACGCCAGUACCUCUAGAGUUGAUACAUUGCUCGCCCCCAAAAGUAAAGACUCAAAGACAGCUAAGAAGGGUUCCACCACAAACACAUUUCCUUCAAAUGUAAAGUCCUUGUUGUCAACAGGAAUGUUUGAUGGGGUUACUGUCAAGUACUACUCCUGGUCACGCGAGGUCAGUCUCUUCUUUUAACCUGGAAUCAACCUUUCACCUUUACCAUGUGCUAAAAACGUUAUCUGGCAGAAAAAUCUCAAAGGAGUUAUAAAGGGGACUGGGUAUCUAUGUGGCUGCAGCGACUGUAACCUUAAUAAAGUAAGCAACGUGAUACCAACACUCUUAGAGUCAUUUACUGGCAUGUCUAUCUAAUACAAAAUCUAAUGCAACAGGUUCUUAAUGCAUAUGAGUUCGAGCAGCAUGCUAACUGCAAGACGAAGCAUCCAAACAAUCACAUAUACUUUGAGAAUGGAAAGACCAUUUAUGGAGUUGUUCAAGAGCUGAAGAAUACGCCUCAGGAGAAGCUGUUCGAUGCUAUUCAAAACGUAACGGGAUCUGAUAUCAACCGUAAAAAUUUCAACACCUGGAAAGGUAAUGUUUCGACAGAGAUAUUUUAAUUCAAUAUAGCAGCUUAAAGCAUGGCAAUACAGAACAAGAUACAAAAGUUAUUGUGUGUUAUAUUGUCUUACAGCAUCGUAUCACGUCGCUAGCCUUGAACUUCAGCGCAUCUAUGGGAAGGAUGCUGUAGUCACUUUGGCAUAGAAGUUAUCAACUGGGAGGCCUUUUUGUUGUAAGAGUAAUCAGUUCUUGUUCUCUGUAACUAUGGCUUUUAAUUAUAAAUCAGAACCUUGAAAUGCUGCUAUGAUGCCUUGUCUGGUGAGUCUAGUUCUUGGCAACUUAAUACAGCGCAUUGCUUGCUCUAGUUCUGGCCAAUUGUACUAUUAAUACUAUCAAAAAUGUUCUUCCUAUUUUUUUUUAUUAAUAGGAGUUUUAGGUAUCAGUUUAUAUGGUUCUUGCAAUAUAUAGAGAGAUAUUGCAACAAAAUCAGCAUCUCAGACAGACUCAUGAGACUGAGUUGCUGCCUUUGGGCUCGUUAACUGGUCACUAUUGAGUGAUAUGUUGUUCUUAUCAGGCUAGUUGGAAUGAUCUGUUCGUCAUUUUUUACCAGUCUUUGUCUUUGCUUUUACCACAUAGUACCAAAUAUAUUCCAAUGACAAUGACUAACACAUGCACUCUCUCCUUUGCUGUCCAUCCAAUAUCAUAGUAUGCCUUGGUCGUCUUUCAAAUAACAUAUAUCCACAAGUUCUGAAGUAGAUUUUUCUUGAAGACUACUACUUGCCCUGAACGACAAUGUGUUUCAAUAAAAUGCUCAAAAGCUCACGAGAUAAGAAAACGCUUGAGAUAAAUAAAUGGCAAAGAGAAUGGAUAAGAAUGUCACACAAGUUCAUCAGAGUUUAUCCGGUUAAUGCAAAAGGAAACACCUUGUCUAUUUCAAGGCGUGUGUUAUGUUAUAAGUACUUCACAUGAGUUGCCAAAAGUAGAUCAAAAAGAAUAAUAAAAAGGGGCUAUAGGUGGUCUAGCUUCUCCCUGAUAUUAAAUUGACAUUAGUGUACAUUUGAGGAUUAGAGCGCUGGUCUGUUUGUGUUAAAGACUCGGUGAAGGCGAGUAAAGGUUGCAACAACAAACUCUGCUUCAUCUCUUCCAACAAAGUCUUACUUGUGUCCAUACCCGCAAGGUAUCCUCCAUGCACAUAUCCACUGAACUUUUCACUUGUGUGUUCUCCUGUGAAUAAUAUCCUUCCAAAUGGAGCCUGAUGAAUCACAAAAACCAAAUCAUAAAUUCCCACAUAAGUGCUAAAAACAACAAAAGGUGCUGUAAAAAUACCUUGACAUUUCGUUGAAGCUGAUUAUCAGAUAUCAUAGGGUAAUUGCUGUAGCUACCGCGCUGAAACCGGUUGUUCCACCAUCUAGGGACAAGAAUAUCAGUUGCGUAAGGAAUAGUGGGACCAAACAUGUCCCUCAGAACACUCAUCGCCUCUUUCAGUGUCUCCUCGUCUGAUUGGGACUCCACGCGCUUUGACUGCUCGUUGGUCAACGUCACGACCAGAAUGUUAGACCCCGGGUACGCAUUUUCCAUGUGCUGAUUUAAAACAGGAGCAACAACAGUUAGAUUUACAGACUGCAAGCUGGAGAGUAGAGAGCAAGCAAACUUGUAAUAAUAUAACAAGCUACAUGGACCAUGCAGCUGGUUAGACACUCGAGAUAAUUUAAAGCAAUGAUGAUAAUAAUCAAAGGGACCCCCCAGGUGAUUAAUAAUAAGAUUAGUAGGGAGUGCAUGUGCCACGUUUCUCACGUAUGUGGACUGAAUAAAAAGAUGCAUUGAGAUUAACAAACUACUGAUAAUAUUUUAAUUUUUUUAAGGUAAUCAACCUGCCAAAAGGUGAAGUAGCCGCGUUGUUCGUGCGCAUAGAUGAAAAACUCUUGGCCAGGACCACAUGGCCAGAAACAAUGAGGGAAUUUGAGGAAGAUCUUGGUGUACACCAUCACAUCACAUUUUUGUAUAGCUUCAGUUUUCCAUUUCUGUCACCAAUAAUAGUACUGGUUAGUAAGAUCACUUGAAUAAAGAUAAAAAGAAAAAUAUUCUGACUUCUGAGACAAAGUUUAACAUGCAUGUUUGUUAAUUGUUUAUGUUAUCUUAAAGGACUCCUUCUUGAAUUAUGUGGAUCAACCAUGCAUAACCAACCCAUUGUAUUUGAUGUAUGGUUUUGAUAAAAAUAAAAAAAAAUGAAUUCUGACUUUCUUUACCUAAUGGCUAACGCAAUUUUAUAUUUCCUAGGUUCACGUACAUUGAAUGAUUAAAAAACCUCCCCCUUUUUGUGUUAUCUUUAGCGUUAAAUAAGCAUAAAAGAUAAGACAAAUAAGUAGUUGAUUAUAAACUAGUAAUAAUAGGAGAAGAGGAGAAAGUAAGCUAACCGGUAAAGGAGGCUGGAAUGAGAUAAGAUUGGAUUGGAGAACACCAAUACUAGCAGACACGAUCACAUAAUUGGCCUCGUAUUCGGAACCAUCCUCUGUUUUCACCACAACACCAUUCCUCGACUGUUGCACCUCCCUAACCACCUGCCAUUAAUUCACCACUAAUAUAAGAUUACUAAUACUACUAUAGCAAUAGGUGCCAAAAACUAAGCCAGCUGGUUUCUGAGAGGCAAUAAAUAAAAACAAUGACCCCACACAACUUGAAAUCAAUUUUCACUACAAAACAAAUGCUGAGACUGAAGAGAAACCUAGCAGCUGUGGUUUAGUUGUCAAACUUAGCAGGAAAAUGCAAAUCAACAACAGCUAAAAGGCAAAAAGGAGCUUUUCCAAAAUAACGUCAUAAUAUACUCCUUUUAACUCAAGUAAAAGAGGUCCAUCAAAACCUCAUCGUUUAACAACAGUCGAAAGAUAUUUUUUGUGCACAGGUGUUGAAGAAGAAAUAGUUUAAAAAAAAUCUACAGUACCUUGUUUAGUUUGAGGCGGUUGUCCAAAAUGUUACCAUCUGAGGUAUAGAGAAAGCCCUCGGCCAUUUUGUAAAGCAAUGAUUCGUAACCUCUUUCAUCAGCAACCAAAUAUUCCCUUUCACCGAAGUCCACGUAAGUCGAUAUUGGCUCAACCUCUGAACAACACGGUAACGAAUACAAUGUCAAGAAAUUGCUAGGCGGUAAUUAUACGUUUUGUUGAUUAGACGGACUUUUUUUUUUUUAAUGUUUAGAUCGAUUUUUCAAAAAUCCGUUAAAAAAAUUAUUUCCUUUAAAUCCGAUUUACCGUGUCAGUACUAUUAGAUGUAAUGAUGAAAAACACUGUUAUAAAACAGACAAAAUAUUAGAUGUAAUGAUUACCUGCCAUCUCGAAAUCAUGCAGGAUGAAGUCAAUAGCGAGUUCUAUUUUGUCUGAUGUUGUCACAUAUAGUUCAAGUAUGAGUCUCGUAUUGUUGAUAGAAGAUUCUUCCAGAGUUAUUUUGAAGGACAACAAUAUGGUUUAAGGAAGCUAAGUAUACAAAUUUAUUGAAAAGAUUGGAAAUAUAUUGAGUUUUAAUAAAUAUAAAUUGAUAAUUUUAGAACCCAGAACCCAAUUAAUAUCUUAAACCAAAACAAUUUUGGAUUCAAACAUGUAACUAAACCUGAACAGAACCCGGCCCAAACUUUUAUAAUAACGGAAUGAGGCUAAAACUCAUGAACCUGAAAUCCGACUGGGACCCCGAUUGUCCAGCCUUGGAUAACCUUCUUGUCCAUUUUAUUUGGUCAUGAGUUUUAUAGAGGCCAUACUGGUGCAGAGCAUAUGACUUCCCUUCUUCAUAUUAUAAAAAGAAUUCAGCCCAGUCUUGUGACCUAUAUUAUAAAACGAAUUGGGCCUAAUAAGAAAUAUGGGCCAUUUGUUUUAUAAUAUGGAAAGCCCGAAUCCCAUACUUCAAGGCUUUGCUUAUUUGUCUUGGCUAAAGCAUCAAUUUCAUGGGUUGGUUUUAACUUUUAAGAGAAGGAUGAUGCGAACUAGCAUCUUGCAGUUCUGGUGAGCAGCGUAGAAACUGGUUAUGAGCCACUUGUAAUCUGAUUGGUGUUUUUGGAAAAGACUCCAUAUCCCAUCUGUACUACUUCCCAUCUUUGAUCAUUAUGUUACAUGAAAAUUGUACAACUUGUAAAUAGACCACUAACAAAAUAAGGAUGGAUGUUAAGUUAAAAUGGUAAAAAUCACUUUAUCCUAAAUGUCCUUGCGACAACCCUAUGGAGAAAGAAAUGAGAUACUGUGUGGGGCCAGUAUCAUAAUUGAUAAGUUGACCCAAUCUGUCAAACAUUUUUCACACAUAUCAUCAUCAUGUUAAAUUUUCUUCAUCUAAUAGUCACACUCACACCAAAUGAUUCCCUACCAAACAAGAAAAAAGAACAAUCGUCAAGUAAUCUGACAAGGGGCAUUACUUGUAAAUUGUAACUCUCUACAUACUCGUAACGACCGGACGAUUCGUGUCCCUUUAGAGUUUUUGAUGAUCCUCUCUCUCUCUCUCUCUCUUGUGUUCACUCUUCCCCUCAACCUUUGGAUUCUCCUCGCGACUUCUCUCUUUUGGAUUCGCCGUUGGAGACUUUAAGAACAGCUCUGCCAUUUCAUUUCUAUAGUUGCAAAAGGUAAAGACUCGAGAUCGUCUCGUGGUGGUUCAUGGUUUUAGGGUUCAAAGUUCCUAAUUUUACUGUUCAUUUGAACCAAAGUUAUCGAUGACGUCAUGCUCACACUCCAAUCUGCAUUUUAUAGAAACCUUUAGUUUUUUUUUUUUCUACUCCUCUUCUUAUUGGUUAUAGACUAUUUCAUUGCGAGUGAGUGUGUGUGUUGUUGAUUAUUUCUCUUGCUGGUUUGUUGACAGAGGAUGAGUACAGAUCUUGUUAGAGAAGAUGAUGUUGAGGAGAAUCCUUCUUCUGUCUCUUCGAGAAUGGACCUAAAACGGAUUCAUCAGUGGCUGACACAAGAAGAGUCCUCCGGUUCAGAACUAUUCAGUAAUAAGAGACAAGUGGUUGAGACUGAUAGUGGUUCCCGGACGAGUUUCUUAACUCCUCCUCUUAUGUCUGCUUGGGACAGCUCACUUGUGCCUAACUGCUUAUUCGAUCCUGCUAAUCCACAGCAUACAUCACAUCUCCUUGGUAGAUAUAUCUCUCCUGUAGACCAGGAGGUGCUUCAUGGUAGCUCAUUUAAUCUUGACACCAUUAGAAAGGUCACAGUCAAUAAUCAAGUGUGUGAAUCUCAAAACAUGCCCCAAUCCAUGCUUCAGUUUUAUGAUAGCACCCCCUCUUUUGGCCAAACCUGCAGCAGUAUUGACAAGAGCUUCACCUUGCCAGGGCCAAACUUGAGUUAUGAUAAAGGAGAUGAAAAUGUCUUCUCAACAUUCCAUCCAUUUGGGAAAGGAGUAGAAAGCUUUGCGUUGAUGGGUCAGUCUCUUCAAAAGGCUGAUUAUAACAUCUUCUCUUAUAACAAGGGACAUGAGAACGUCAUGUCUAAUGCCAAUGUUGUGUUCUCACAAGGCUGUGAGAUGGCAUUUAUGGUUCCUAGCCAAGAAAAAGCAGACAAGAACAGUGAUCAAACUAGUCAAGAGGUUAGAAGACAGACCAUAUCUUUUGGAAAUUAUCAGAAAGAAACCACAAUGGUGUCUCCAGUUCCUGUUAUUACCAGUUUUGAGAACUUCAGCCAUUCUCCUGCAGAGGACAACAUGUCUUCUCAAUAUCCUCCUUACGCCAGUACCUCUAGAGUUGAUACAUUGCUCGCCCCCAAAAGUAAAGACUCAAAGACAGCUAAGAAGGGUUCCACCACAAACACAUUUCCUUCAAAUGUAAAGUCCUUGUUGUCAACAGGAAUGUUUGAUGGGGUUACUGUCAAGUACUACUCCUGGUCACGCGAGGUCAGUCUCUUCUUUUAACCUGGAAUCAACCUUUCACCUUUACCAUGUGCUAAAAACGUUAUCUGGCAGAAAAAUCUCAAAGGAGUUAUAAAGGGGACUGGGUAUCUAUGUGGCUGCAGCGACUGUAACCUUAAUAAAGUAAGCAACGUGAUACCAACACUCUUAGAGUCAUUUACUGGCAUGUCUAUCUAAUACAAAAUCUAAUGCAACAGGUUCUUAAUGCAUAUGAGUUCGAGCAGCAUGCUAACUGCAAGACGAAGCAUCCAAACAAUCACAUAUACUUUGAGAAUGGAAAGACCAUUUAUGGAGUUGUUCAAGAGCUGAAGAAUACGCCUCAGGAGAAGCUGUUCGAUGCUAUUCAAAACGUAACGGGAUCUGAUAUCAACCGUAAAAAUUUCAACACCUGGAAAGGUAAUGUUUCGACAGAGAUAUUUUAAUUCAAUAUAGCAGCUUAAAGCAUGGCAAUACAGAACAAGAUACAAAAGUUAUUGUGUGUUAUAUUGUCUUACAGCAUCGUAUCACGUCGCUAGCCUUGAACUUCAGCGCAUCUAUGGGAAGGAUGCUGUAGUCACUUUGGCAUAGAAGUUAUCAACUGGGAGGCCUUUUUGUUGUAAGAGUAAUCAGUUCUUGUUCUCUGUAACUAUGGCUUUUAAUUAUAAAUCAGAACCUUGAAAUGCUGCUAUGAUGCCUUGUCUGGUGAGUCUAGUUCUUGGCAACUUAAUACAGCGCAUUGCUUGCUCUAGUUCUGGCCAAUUGUACUAUUAAUACUAUCAAAAAUGUUCUUCCUAUUUUUUUUUAUUAAUAGGAGUUUUAGGUAUCAGUUUAUAUGGUUCUUGCAAUAUAUAGAGAGAUAUUGCAACAAAAUCAGCAUCUCAGACAGACUCAUGAGACUGAGUUGCUGCCUUUGGGCUCGUUAACUGGUCACUAUUGAGUGAUAUGUUGUUCUUAUCAGGCUAGUUGGAAUGAUCUGUUCGUCAUUUUUUACCAGUCUUUGUCUUUGCUUUUACCACAUAGUACCAAAUAUAUUCCAAUGACAAUGACUAACACAUGCACUCUCUCCUUUGCUGUCCAUCCAAUAUCAUAGUAUGCCUUGGUCGUCUUUCAAAUAACAUAUAUCCACAAGUUCUGAAGUAGAUUUUUCUUGAAGACUACUACUUGCCCUGAACGACAAUGUGUUUCAAUAAAAUGCUCAAAAGCUCACGAGAUAAGAAAACGCUUGAGAUAAAUAAAUGGCAAAGAGAAUGGAUAAGAAUGUCACACAAGUUCAUCAGAGUUUAUCCGGUUAAUGCAAAAGGAAACACCUUGUCUAUUUCAAGGCGUGUGUUAUGUUAUAAGUACUUCACAUGAGUUGCCAAAAGUAGAUCAAAAAGAAUAAUAAAAAGGGGCUAUAGGUGGUCUAGCUUCUCCCUGAUAUUAAAUUGACAUUAGUGUACAUUUGAGGAUUAGAGCGCUGGUCUGUUUGUGUUAAAGACUCGGUGAAGGCGAGUAAAGGUUGCAACAACAAACUCUGCUUCAUCUCUUCCAACAAAGUCUUACUUGUGUCCAUACCCGCAAGGUAUCCUCCAUGCACAUAUCCACUGAACUUUUCACUUGUGUGUUCUCCUGUGAAUAAUAUCCUUCCAAAUGGAGCCUGAUGAAUCACAAAAACCAAAUCAUAAAUUCCCACAUAAGUGCUAAAAACAACAAAAGGUGCUGUAAAAAUAC